AACGAACGCUGGCGGCAUGCCUAACACAUGCAAGUCGAACGAGACCUUCGGGUCUAGUGGCGCACGGGUGCGUAACGCGUGGGAACCUGCCCUUAGGUUCGGAAUAACUCCCCGAAAGGGGUGCUAAUACCGGAUAAUGUCUUCGGACCAAAGAUUUAUCGCCUUUGGAUGGGCCCGCGUUGGAUUAGCUAGUUGGUAGGGUAAACGCCUACCAAGGCGACGAUCCAUAGCUGGUCUGAGAGGAUGAUCCGCCACACUGGGACUGGGACACGGCCCAGACUCCUGCGGGAUGCAGCAGUGGGGAAUACUGGACAGUGGGCGAAAGCCUGAUCCACCAAUGCCGCGUGAGUGAUGAAGGCCUUAGGGUUGUACAGCUCUUUUAUCCGGGAUGAUAAUGACAGUACCGGGAGAAUAAGCACCGGCUAACUCCGUG
rnacentral:rRNA from 1 species